ensembl:lncRNA
UUAUGUUGGUUAUAAAAUUUAUUGAUCUCUCAUUUAGGAACUGAAUAAAACCUUGAAAACCCUGAAACAAAAUAGCCCCUUAGCCCUACCACCCAAACGAAAUCCACAUACAUUAGCGCGACGAAAUAUCAAACAGAUCACGGCAGAAAUCACCAACUCAACAGCUUAAAUGCGGACUGGACAGAAAGCUGUCCUGCGGCCAGGGGCGGCGAGGCGGGAGACACACGCACACCUGGCUAUAAAUUAACAUCGGCCUUGGCUGCCGCGCCGCGGCGGUCAGUUCCCACCCCCCACCACCCCGAGCCCACGAGGAAAACAGAUGCAACGCGACUGGGGGAGGAGGCGUUGUAGUUCUCAAGCCAGCCUCACCCGAGUCCGUUUGCCCCAUUCACUCACUCCUCGGCUAACAGCAAACUAACGCGACAACAUUUUCAAAUGCAACAGAAAAAACCCAGGAACCCGGGAGGAGGAGGAGGAGGUUGGGGGGGGCGGCUUUUUCUUGGCAAACAACACAGCGGAUUCCCAGCCUACAGAAGGGGAAGGGAGGGAAGGCGGCGAGGGGCCUGCGAGCUCGAGAAAGUCCCAUUUCCGCCGCUCCGGACUCCUUUCAGUUUUCGUACAAACCCCGACAGCUACAGCCAAACUUUCCAUCCUCCCCAUCAUCGGUACAAGGCAACAGUCCCAGCCUUCCCGACCGGAGCCUCGAGACUCUGAGCGCCACAUUCAACCGCCUGUCGGGGUUGUCUGCGGAAGAAUAGCGGCGCGGGGAAGCCCGGCUGCGGGUAGCUGGCACCCUGACUAUCGCCGCCUCCAGCCCAAACUAGUGGCUCAGCGUCUGCAACUCCCGAAGACGCCCGAGGCGACCGGUGGGAAGGAAAAGCCAACCCCGGACAGAGGUGGCAAAGACUGAAAUAAGUGUCCCCACGGUGUGGCCCACCAACCCCCCCAGCCUCGUGGAAAGAUGGGGAACCCAAAGAAAGGCGUAUAUCCUAAGUGUGGGGAAAAAAAACAAAAACAAAAACAGCUCCAAACCGAGGUUUUUAGCUCCUUAUAAUGCAAGACCCAGCGAUCCUGGGAAGCCUGCGUGCCAGGAGCUUGCUUCCCCGUUUCUUGCACAAAUUAUAAAGUAACCCGCUGUGACUUGGGGGACGCAGAGCAGGCCAGCCCGCCCUGGGGCCCGCGGACCGCUAGCACCAGAAUCCCGGCUCCCAGCAGCAACGUCUCCUGGAAGUUUGGGGUCUCGAAACCCGCCUCUUAAGUUUGGGUUCCACUUGGUUCUGUUGCUCUUCUGGGCGGAAGGAAGCGAACGUAUACAGUCAAGGGCUGCUGCGAUCAUUUGAAUGGUUCUACGCAUUUAGGG